CAAAAUGAGAGUUUGAUCCUGGCUCAGGACGAACGCUGGCGGCGUGCCUAAUACAUGCAAGUCGAGCGAGCUUGCCUAUUGAAAUUCUUCGGAAUGGACAUAGAUACAAGCUAGCGGCGGAUGGGUGAGUAACGCGUGGGUAACCUGCCCUUAAGUCUGGGAUACCAUUUGGAAACAGAUGCUAAUACCGGAUAAAAGCUACUUUCGCAUGAAAGAAGUUUAAAAGGCGGCGUAAGCUGUCGCUAAAGGAUGGACCUGCGAUGCAUUAGCUAGUUGGUAAGGUAACGGCUUACCAAGGCGAUGAUGCAUAGCCGAGUUGAGAGACUGAUCGGCCACAUUGGGACUGAGACACGGCCCAAACUCCUACGGGAGGCAGCAGUAGGGAAUCUUCCACAAUGGACGCAAGUCUGAUGGAGCAACGCCGCGUGAGUGAAGAAGGUUUUCGGAUCGUAAAGCUCUGUUGUUGGUGAAGAAGGAUAGAGGUAGUAACUGGCCUUUAUUUGACGGUAAUCAACCAGAAAGUCACGGCUAACUACGUGCCAGCAGCCGCCCUAAUACGUAGGUGGCAAGCGUUGUCCGGAUUUAUUGGGCGUAAAGCGAGCGCAGGCGGAU
rnacentral:ncRNA from 1 species